ACCCCGUGGACGACCCGCGCGCCAUCAUCAAGGUGCUCUUCGAGCCGGCUAAAGAUGAUGAACCGGAACCGGAGGCCCAGCCGCCGCCGCCGCCGCCGCCCCCGCCAUCCCCGCACUCACUCUCAGCGGCCGCUGAGCUGGCCGAGGCGCGGUUGGCGGUGGAGCAGGCGGGAAAAUCGCCGCCGCGCCUCUCCGUGGUGCGCCGCACGCCGUUCCCGCUGGGUACAGCCGGCACGGGCGGCCCCAGCAGCCAGAUACGGCGACCCAGCAAGGUCACAAAGGCGGACGAGAAACGUCAGGCUGCAACCUCAGCAGCUAAAUACUGGUCGAGACACGCCCAGGAUGACGAAAAGCCACCUCAAAAGUGAGCGGCCCACCCGGCGCCGGAGCUGUCUUGAACGCCGCCAUGGGAGGAAAUGUUCGGGACAAUCGAGCUUUGUUUGCUAACGGCGGUGCGUGUGUCACAUGUUGGAUUCCCAGCGCUUCAUAAGCACAUGCAUCGUAAGCUGUAUGAAAUGUAUAAUAAAAUCAUUUCUCGUAGUGUCAUAUGCUUGAGCGUUUGUCAUUUGCAGCGCAGGUAGGAAAUAUGGCACUUCUGUGAUGCGAGUACAAGAUAUAAACUGGUCUUAUGACUAGAUCGUUACUCGUGAGCCUGCUCGGUCAAACGUCCACCGCUGCGAUGUCUUGUGUGGACUGUUUUGUCGCUCACCAAGUUUACUGUUGGCCUGUCCUGUUCUCUGCCCGGGAUUACUGCACAAUCUGGGUUCAGCAGAUGGAUCUCUAGCAGCUCAGGUGUAUAGCAUGUAUGUAGUUCGGUCUGCUCAAUAUGUCAUAAUAAGUUCGUGAUCUCAUUCGUGUUUGUAACUGUUGUGCUUUUCUUGAGAAUAGAUGUUCAA